rnacentral:rRNA from 1 species
UACGAAGGGUGCUAGCGUUGCUCGGAAUCACUGGGCGUAAAGCGCACGUAGGCGGCUUGUUAAGUCAGGGGUGAAAUCCUGGAGCUCAACUCCAGAACUGCCUUUGAUACUGAAGAUCUUGAGUUCGGGAGAGGUGAGUGGAACUGCGAGUGUAGAGGUGAAAUUCGUAGAUAUUCGCAAGAACACCAGUGGCGAAGGCGGCUCACUGGCCCGAUACUGACGCUGAGGCACGAAAGCGUGGGGAGCAAACAGG